rnacentral:rRNA from 1 species
UACGGAGGAUGCAAGCGUUAUCCGGAAUGAUUGGGCGUAAAGCGUCCGCAGGUGGCAAUGUAAGUCUGCUGUUAAAGAGUGAGGCCCAACCUCAUAAGAGCAGUGGAAACUACAUAGCUAGAGUGCGUUCGGGGCAAAGGGAAUUCCUGGCGUAGCGGUGAAAUGCGUAGAGAUCAGGAAGAACACCGGUGGCGAAAGCGCUUUGCUAGGCCGCAACUGACACUGAGGGACGAAAGCUAGGGGAGCGAAUGGG